rnacentral:rRNA from 1 species
AUGAAACAACCUCCUGGGUUUGAAAACAAACAUGCACCCUCUUAUGUAUGCAAGCUUGAUAAAGCAUUGUAUGGACUGAAGCAGGCCCCUAGAGCAUGGUAUUCCCGUCUCAGCAAGAAGAUGCAAAUGCUUGGAUUUGUUCCUUCAAAGUCUGACACUUCAUUGUUUAUUUACAAUAAGUCCAAUACAUCAAUAUUUGUUCUUAUAUAUGUUGAUGAUAUUAUUGUCACAAGUUCAUCUCAUGAGGCAAUAACAGGACUGUUGAAGGACUUAAGUGCUGAGUUUGCUCUAAAGGAUCUUGGGGACUUGCACUAUUUCCUAGGGAUUGAAGUGAAGAAGCACAAGGAUGGGCUUCAUCUCUCCCAGGAAAAAUAUGCAAAUGAUUUGGUAAGAAAAGCUGGGUUGCAAGGCUGUAAACCUACUACUACUCCUUUGUCUAGUACAGAAUAA